GGGCGCUUGGUCUAGGGGUAUGAUACUCGCUUCGCAUGCUUCCAAACUGCGAACAUGACUUUGUGAGUGGUCGUGGGUUCAAUUCCCACAGCGUCCA